rnacentral:rRNA from 1 species
CGUAGUACGUGUUUGACUCGUCGCUACGAGACGACGCUGGCGGCGUGCCUAAUACAUGCAAGUCGAGCGGACGGAUUGGGGCUUGCUUGAUUCGUCAGCGGCGGACGGGUGAGUACACGUGGCACCUGCCGACAAGACGGAUAACUCCGGGAACGAGCUAUACCGGAUACACGAGGCCGCAUGGUCUUCGGUUGAAAGGCGGCCUUUGGGCUGUCACUUGCGGAUGGGCCCGCGGCGCAUUAGCUAGUUGGUGAGGUAACGGCUCACCAAGGCGACGAUGCGUAGCCGGCCUGAGAGGGUGACCGGCCACACUGGGACUGAGACACGGCCCAGACUCCUACGGGAGGCAGCAGUAGGGAAUCUUCCGCAAUGGGCGAAAGCCUGACGGAGUGACGCCGCGUGAGCGAAGAAGGCCUUCGGGUCGUAAAGCUCUGUUGUGAGGGACGAAGGAGCGCCGUUCGAAGAGGGCGGCGCGGUGACGGUACCUCACGAGAAAGCCCCGGCUAACUACGUG